UACGGGGGGAGCAAGCGUUGUUCGGAUUUACUGGGCGUAAAGGGCGCGUAGGCGGCGCAACAAGUCACUUGUGAAAUCUCCGGGCUUAACCCGGAGCGGUCAAGUGAUACUGUCGUGCUAGAGUGCGGAAGGGGCUACUGGAAUUCUCGGUGUAGCGGUGAAAUGCGUAGAUAUCGAGAGGAACACCUGCGGCGAAGGCGGGUAGCUGGGCCGACACUGACGCUGAUGCGCGAAAGCGUGGGGAGCGAACGGG
rnacentral:rRNA from 1 species